UACGUAGGGGGCUAGCGUUGUCCGGAAUCAUUGGGCGUAAAGAGCGUGUAGGCGGCUCGGUAAGUCCGCUGUGAAAGUCCAGGGCUCAACCCCUGGAAUGCCAGUGGAAACUGUCGAGCUAGAGUCCGGAAGAGGCGAGUGGAAUUCCUGGUGUAGCGGUGAAAUGCGCAGAUAUCAGGAGGAACACCAAUGGCGAAGGCAGCUCGCUGGGACGGUACUGACGCUGAGACGCGAAAGCGUGGGGAGCAAACAGG
rnacentral:rRNA from 1 species